rnacentral:rRNA from 1 species
UUGGGUUUAAAGGGAGGGUAGAUGGAUGUUUAAGUUAGUUGUGAAAGUUUGAGGAUUAAAUGUAAAAUUGCAGGUUGAUACUGGAUAUCUUGAGUGCAGUGAGGGCAGGCGGAAUUCGUGGUGUAGCGGUGAAAUGCUUAGAUAUCACGAAGAACUCCGAUUGCGAAGGCAGCCUGCUAAGCUGCAACUGACAUUGAGGCUCGAAAGUGUGGGUAUCAAACAGGAUUAGAUACCCUGGUAGUCCACACGGUAAACGAUGAAUACUCGCUGUUUGCGAUAUACAGCAAGCGGCCAAGCGAAAGCGUUAAGUAUUCCACCUGGGGAGUACGCCGGCAACGGUGAAACUCAAAGGAAUUGACGGGGGCCCGCACAAGCGGAGGAACAUGUGGUUUAAUUCGAUGAUACGCGAGGAACCUUACCCGGGCUUAAAUUGCAGAUGAAUUACGGUGAAAGCCGUAAGCCGCAAGGCGUCUGUGAAGGUGCUGCAUGGUUGUCGUCAGCUCGUGCCGUGAGGUGUCGGCUUAAGUGCCAUAACGAGCGCAACCCUUGUUGUCAGCUACUAACAGGUUUCGCUGAGGACUCUGACAAGACUGCCAUCGUAAGAUGUGAGGAAGGUGGGGAUGACGUCAAAUCAGCACGGCCCUUACGUCCGGGGCUACACACGUGUUACAAUGGGGGGUACAGAGGGCCGCUACCACGCGAGUGGAUGCCAAUCCCCAAAACCUCUCUCAGUUCGGACUGGAGUCUGCAACCCGACUCCACGAAGCUGGAUUCGCUAGUAAUCGCGCAUCAGCCACGGCGCGGUGAAUACGUUCCCGGGCCUUGUACACACCGCCCGUCAAGCCAUGGGAGCCGGGGGUACCUGAAGUGCGUAACCGCGAGGAGCGCCCUAGGGUAAAACUGGUGACUGGC